GCAGCCACCUUUUAAAAAAGCGUUAAAGCUUCAUCUUAUGACUCAACCAAUACCUCACCACCCCUUAAACCCUUUACCUCUAUUAAGUAAUUUUAUAUAAAUAUAAAAGAUUUUAUGCUAAAACUAGUAACAAGAAAUUGAAUUUCUCCAAAAUUUAAGCAUACACCAAAAUGGACUAACCAUUGGUAAUUAACGCUAAUAAAACUGUUAUAGUAACAUACCAAGAAAACACUACAUUUUUACACGUUAACCUUACACAAGUAAAUUUCAGGAAAGAUUAAAAGAAAGAGAAGGAACUCGGCAAAUUUUAACCCCGCCUGUUUACCAAAAACAUCGCCUCUUGAUUAAAUAUAGGAGGUCCAGCCUGCCCAGUGACACACUUAAACGGCCGCGGUACCCUGACCGUGCAAAGGUAGCAUAAUCAUCUGUUCUUUAAAUAAGGACUUGUAUCAACGGCAUCACGAGGGUUAUACUGUCUCCUCUCUCCAAUCAGUGAAACUGACCUCCCCGUGAAGAGGCGGGGAUAGAAACACAAGACGAGAAGACCCCAUGGAGCUUUAAACCCAAUAACAACUCUUUUUAAUAAACCUAAAAAAUCUAGAUACCCUGUUUAUUGGUUUUGGGUUGGGGUGACCACGGAGUAAAAAUUAACCUCCUUGACGAAUAGAUCUAAUCUUUAUCUAAGAGCCACCACUCAAAGAAUCAAAAAUUUGACGUUACAUGAUCCGGCAACCGAUCAACGAACCAAGUUACCCUGGGGAUAACAGCGCAAUCCAUUUCAAGAGCUCCUAUCGACGAAUGGGUUUACGACCUCGAUGUUGGA
rnacentral:rRNA from 1 species